AUUUGGGGAAAUGGUAGAUUUAUUUGUAGAUUUUAUUUACCACUUGUGUGGUAAAGAGGGUAUGUUUCCUCAGAGACCAAAGUUGCGCUUUAGAAAAGAGAAAAGAAAAAAAGGAAAGAAAAAAAGAAAUGAGAAAAAAAGGCUGGACUAAUCCUAAGUGACGUAAUUAAAUUUACCCUAUCUGCACUACUUUUGCAACUACAUCUAAAGUCAGAUCAAGGGUUGGUGAACUACAGUGGGAUUUGAAAUGCUCUUCAUUUGGCAUGUUUUUGGGAAUCACUGAAAGAGGGAAAGAUGUGCGUCCCAAGUGGCAUGAGCAGCAGGAGAAGGAAAAGCAGAUGAGUAUGCAGUCGUGGUACCAUUAUCCUCCUUGCAUUGACGGUUACCCUCAGAAGGCCACUGCCAGCAUUAACCAGCGCUGCUGCUCUCCUGGCCUUGUGGGGAUCUGAGAUGUGGGCAGAUGAAGGAGAAACCCACUGCCUUCAGAUAUGUGACUGUUGGGGCUGCUCAGCUCCGGUGUGACAGCAGCCACAGAAGUGCCAGCACCUCGCAGCCCAGCCCAAGGGCAGCUGGCUCUGGAAUUCCAGCCCUGUCCUGGUCUAAAUCUAGUCAUGAUCUUCCUGAUUUGCUUCCACAUCUACAAAGUGGGAAUAAUCAUAAUAUCUCAAUAUAUAAUCAUAAUAGUUACCAGGCACGCCGAAACAGAUCUUCAGCAUUUACACUUCAUAUCAUCUGUUAAGCUGCCUCUGCUUGACUAGGUCAUGCCUCUUUGGUGCUACCACAUAAAUGCUAAAACUUACCAUCAUCUCAUCUUUGAGCAGAACGGAUCCAAUUCUGCGCCUUUUUUGGAAAACUACCCUUUGAAAUACUGUUUUAAUCAAAAAGAACAGAAAAAAGUCUACUUGGCCAAUUCUUAUGUCAAGAUCCAGGACAGAUUGCUGGAUAGCAUUUUACAUUCAGGCUGAAAUUAUUACCCUGGCCCUUAGGUAAAAUGUUCCAGAAACUUGUCUUGGGUCAUGCUAGCAACAAAUGAUGAAAAAAGCAAACAUUCUUUAUUUUAAAUAUAGUCUGUGAACUUUUUCAAAUGCAGAGACUAAAUUUAGACAAUUGUCUUGGAAAUACACUCAGAAAAUUUGGAUUUUGUUCCUGCUCAUUAAUUUUCUAGCUGCUCAAAUAUAAAUAAGCAGUAUCAGUCAAUUGCUAUUUUCUCUUCUUGAAAGUUUUCUUUACUCAUUUUAACUGUUUCCUAUCAUUAUCACAGUUCAGUGGUUGCAGACAGUAAAACAGCUGAAUAAAAUAGGCAUCCACUAAUAUCUCCAAGUCUUUUCCAGCCCACAGGCAAAGCUAUGUUCCAUUUGUCUGCAAGAAUUUCACUCAAGGUUGCAGAGAUUUCUUUUGUAUUUUUAUUGCAUUUAAUAAAGAUUAAAAUAUGUAUUACAUUAAAUUAAAUUAAAU
ensembl:lncRNA